rnacentral:rRNA from 1 species
AGAAGUUAAGUAAACCUUUACACCUAGAGGAAAUAAAAGUCGUAACAAGGUUUCCGUAGGUGAACCUGCGGAAGGAUCAUUUAUAAUUCAUAAAUGUUUUUCUUGAAUCAAUGUUCAAAAAGGAAGGAAACUUCUUUUUGUUUACCUAUUCAUAGGUUUUAAAUGUUAAAAAAUUACCUAAAUAUCUUAAAUUUUCAACGAUGGAUAUCUAGGCUCCUAUAACGAUGAAGAACGCAGCGAAAUGCGAUACGCAAUGCGAAUUGCAGAACCGUGAGUCAUCAGAUUUUUGAACGCAAGUGGCGAUGGCCUCCGGCCAUCAUGUUUGUUUCAGUGUGCUCGGUUAAUUACAUCAUAGAAUUUAAUGUGAUUGAAGCAAUUCUUUCACUUAAUAUGAAGUAAUGUCAGCUACUGUACAUUAAAUGAACAUGUCACUAACAUGGUGAUAAUCAUUUAAGUGUCUUUGGUUGUAAAUCAUUACUUAAAAACUAAUUAUCCAAUCAUAACACCUGAAAUAAGCAAGAGUACCCGCUG